rnacentral:rRNA from 1 species
UACGUAGGGGGCUAGCGUUGUCCGGAAUCACUGGGCGUAAAGCGCACGUAGGCGGAUUGCUAAGUCAGGGGUGAAAUCCUGGAGCUCAACUCCAGAACUGCCUUUGAUACUGGCGACCUUGAGUCCGGGAGAGGUGAGUGGAACUGCGAGUGUAGAGGUGAAAUUCGUAGAUAUUCGCAAGAACACCAGUGGCGAAGGCGGCUCACUGGCCCGGUACUGACGCUGAGGUGCGAAAGCGUGG